UACGAAGGUGGCAAGCGUUGUUCGGAUUUACUGGGCGUAAAGGGCGCGUAGGCGGGAUGGCAAGUCGGUCGUGAAAUCCCUCGGCUCAACUGAGGUACGUCGAUCGAUACUGCCGUUCUUGAGGGUUGCAGAGGAGACUGGAAUUCCCGGUGUAGCGGUGAAAUGUGUAGAGAUCGGGAGGAACACCGGUGGCGAAGGCGGGUCUCUGGGCAACUCCUGACGCUGAGGCGCGAAAGCGUGGGGAGCAAACGGG
rnacentral:rRNA from 1 species